rnacentral:rRNA from 1 species
AUAGCGUAUAUUAAAGUUGUUGCAGUUAAAAAGCUCGUAGUUGAACUUCAGGCCUUGGCUGGUGGUCCGCCUCACGGCGUGUACUGUCUGGCCGGGCCUUACCUCUUGGUGAGCCGGCAUGCCCUUCACUGGGUGUGUCGGGGAACCAGGACCUUUACCUUGAGAAAAUUAGAGUGUUCAAAGCAGGCUUAUGCUCGAAUACAUUAGCAUGGAAUAAUAAAAUAGGACGUGCGGUUCUAUUUUGUUGGUUUCUAGAGUCGCCGUAAUGAUUAAUAGGGAUAGUUGGGGGCAUUAGUAUUCAGUUGCUAGAGGUGAAAUUCUUGGAUUUACUGAAGACUAACUACUG